UUUGGUUUAUCUCACAAUUUCGGAGAAGUCCUUGAGUUUAUUAGACUUUCAAAAUUCACGGAGAAAGCGGGUAGUCGCCGAACGGAAAACCGAACACAUGGCCACCAGACGCGACUGGUUUUCCCCAAAAAUGAAGU